ACUCCAAGAAAAGUAAUCAUUUUCUCUGGAAAAGAAAUCAAUCUUGAACGUCAGGAGCAGUGAGGAUUUGUUUGAGAUAUUUUAACCUAAAUUGGCUCAUCUCACACUCUGUCUAUAGGAGCACAAUAGAUGAACUUUGGGGAGAGUUGAUCCUGUCAUCUCAGCUCCUCACCCACAGACCUGGGUGGCCACAGCAAUCCAUAUGGCCCAGCAAUCAGAAUUGAUUAGGAAGUCCUGGAAUGGAAAGGCUGGCCAGGAGUGGAUUAGCUGCCUGGGUAUAGAAACAUUUGGGGCUCCUGUGUUCAGGGUAGCAGUCAUGCUUCUUACACUCCCAGCAAAGAGAAGAAAACCAACUAGCCAUUCCCGGGAUGAUCUGAACAACCACAGCACUCUAGCAGACAGCCUCUGCCCCAGUCUAGGGAAGUGCCUAUGUAGACAGGACUUCUCCACAGCAAUGGGUAGAUUGCAUGUCCUCAUGUCUGCCUGAUAGCACAGGGCCUCAAAACCCAUGUUGUACCAAAACCAGACUAAGGUAAGUCAGUCGGUGAUGUCACUGAUGUUACUGGUGAUGUCACUGAUGUUACUGGUGAUGUCACUGAUGUUACUGAGCCAACCUCCUUUCCAACUGUGCACACAGCCUAGACAACUCUCUCUGGAAACAUAUUAAUUCUCCGUGUCACAGUGAUGCUCUGUUGUUGGCUUCAUGGAUGUAGGCUUAGCUGGGUGUCCCUGUUAGUCCUCCCAGCACACAAGGCAUACCAACCGGGAUUGAGAUGCAAACAAUUGGUCUAUCCGGAUACUUUAUCUUUAUGGUGUCCAGAACCCUAUUGUGGAGGCAGGGAUUCCGACUUGGGGACUGCCUUCCAGCUUUCUUUCCUCGGCUGUGACAAAGGAGUGGUAAGCUGGCACGGAAAGUCUCGGGCAAACCCAUGAAUCAGUGAUGACACAGCACAUCUUGAAUCCACCGCAGGUGGUUGCACAGGUAACCAGGGUCUCUCUUUCACUAAGCUGGACUGCACCUUGAAACUGUGAGCCAAAGUUAACCCUUUCAUAACAUGCCGUUUACACUUAAUUUUUCACAGCAACCAAACAGACUCUGGAGCCAGGAAGCUCAGUGCUUGGGUCUGCUGCAAACUGCUGGAAGCGUAAAUGGGAAGAAAGUUCUCUCUGCAUAGCUCACAGCUCUGCACUGAUCUCAGCGCUGUCGGAAGUGUGUACCGGGAUUCCGUCUUUCUCACUUGUUUUCUGUGCUCAGGGCUGUUGCAGGCAAAGGUCUUUUGCUAACGAGGCGAGCAACGGGAGAUGGUGAGAGUUGGUCGAUGGCAGUUGAGAACAGGACAUGAAAAGAUGUUUCCAUACAUUGCCGAAAGAGAAAGAGGAGGAACCAUCAGAGUGUGGGAGAAGGAAUGAUGCCCAUGACUGAUCCAAGGAUGCUCUGGGUGUUAGCUCCAGCAGACAGUGCUGGGUGCAUGCUUGCUCAGCGCUUGUAUAUGCUGACCCCUAACCUUGCUGACCCAACCCUUGCAGAUAGAAGUCCCUAACCUUGCUAUCCCAACCCUUGCUAAUGAUGACCUGUAACCUUUCUAUUUCAGCCUUUGCAGAUGUGGGCCCUUGACACUGUAAUCAUCUUUGUUAGGUGUGCAAAAGAUGACCCUCCGAACCAUAUGAACACAGUUCUGGGAACUGUGCCCUCUAUGUUCAAACUAAUAUAAACAAGAAUGUAAGGAAAAGAACCCCA
rnacentral:sRNA from 1 species